GAUGAACGCUGGCGGCGUGCCUAAUACAUGCAAGUCGAGCGAAAAGACGAGGAGCUUGCUCCUCGGACGUUAGGGGCGGACGGGAGAGUAACAUGUGUAUACCCUACCUAUAAGACUGGGAUAAUUUCGGGACACCGGCGCUAAUAGCGGAGAAUAUAUUGAUGCGCAGGGGUCGAUAGUGAGAGUCGGUUUUGGUGUCACUUAUAGAUGGAUCCGCGCCGCAUUAGCUAGUUGGUAAGGUAACGGCUUACCAAGGCAACGAUGCGUCGCCGACCUGAGAGUGUGAUCGGCCACACUGGAACUGAGACACGGUCAAGACUCCUACGGGAGGCAGCAGUAGGGAAUCUUCCGCAAUGGGCGAAAGCUUGACGGAGCAACGCCGCGUGAGUUAUGAAGGUCUUCGGAUCGUAAAACUCUGUUAUUAGUGAAGAACAAAUGUGUAAGUAACUAUGCACGUCUUGACGGUACCUAAUCAGAAAGCCACGGCUAACUACGUG
rnacentral:rRNA from 1 species